rnacentral:rRNA from 1 species
UACGGAGGGUGCAAGCGUUGUUCGGAAUUAUUGGGCGUAAAGCGCGUGCAGGCGGUUCGCUAAGUCUGAUGUGAAAGCCCCGGGCUCAACCCGGGAAGUGCAUUGGAAACUGGCGAACUUGAGUACGGGAGAGGAAAGUGGAAUUCCGAGUGUAGGGGUGAAAUCCGUAGAUAUUCGGAGGAACACCAGUGGCGAAGGCGGCUUUCUGGACCGAUACUGACGCUGAGACGCGAAAGCGUGGGGAGCAAACAGG